AGGGUAAUAGUUAAACAUAACAUUUAAUUUGCAUUUAAAAAGUAUUGAAAUUAUUAAUCAAUUUACCUUA
rnacentral:tRNA from 1 species